AUAACUCUUUGUUGGCCAUAGCAGAAGCGCUCACAUCACAGCCCUGUCAGAUUCCAAUGGAUCUGUGAACUCUGCU
rnacentral:ribozyme from 1 species